rnacentral:rRNA from 1 species
GAAAGUCUGACGGAGCAACGCCGCGUGAGUGAUGAAGGUUUUCGGAUCGUAAAGCUCUGUUGUUAGGGAAGAACAAGUGCAAGAGUAACUGCUUGCACCUUGACGGUACCUAACCAGAAAGCCACGGCUAACUACGUGCCAGCAGCCGCGGUAAUACGUAGGUGGCAAGCGUUGUCCGGAAUUAUUGGGCGUAAAGGGCUCGCAGGCGGUUUCUUAAGUCUGAUGUGAAAGCCCCCGGCUCAACCGGGGAGGGUCAUUGGAAACUGGGAAACUUGAGUGCAGAAGAGGAGAGUGGAAUUCCACGUGUAGCGGUGAAAUGCGUAGAGAUGUGGAGGAACACCAGUGGCGAAGGCGACUCUCUGGUCUGUAACUGACGCUGAGGAGCGAAAGCGUGGGGAGCGAACAGGAUUAGAUACCCUGGUAGUCCACGCCGUAAACGAUGAGUGCUAAGUGUUAGGGGGUUUCCGCCCCUUAGUGCUGCAGCUAACGCAUUAAGCACUCCGCCUGGGGAGUACGGUCGCAAGACUGAAACUCAAAGGAAUUGACGGGGGCCCGCACAAGCGGUGGAGCAUGUGGUUUAAUUCGAAGCAACGCGAAGAACCUUACCAGGUCUUGACAUCCUCUGACAACCCUAGAGAUAGGGCUUUCCCUUCGGGGACAGAGUGACAGGUGGUGCAUGG